rnacentral:rRNA from 1 species
UUUAAGCUUCCAUCAGGGAGGCUGCAGUGGGGAAUUUUGGACAACUGCGGCGCAAGCCUGAUCCAGCAAUGCCGCGUGCAGGAAGAAGGCCUUCGGGUUGUAAACUGCUUUUGUACGGAGCGAAAAGGCUCUCUCUAAUACAGGGGGCUCAUGACGGUACCGUAAGAAUAAGCACCGGCUAACUACGUGCCAGCAGCCGCGGUAAUACGUAGGGUGCAAGCGUUAAUCGGAAUUACUGGGCGUAAAGCGUGCGCAGGCGGUUUUGUAAGACAGGCGUGAAAUCCCCGGGCUCAACCUGGGAAUGGCGCUUGUGACUGCAAAGCUGGAGUGCGGCAGAGGGGGAUGGAAUUCCGCGUGUAGCAGUGAAAUGCGUAGAUAUGCGGAGGAACACCGAUGGCGAAGGCAAUCCCCUGGGCCUGCACUGACGCUCAUGCACGAAAGCGUGGGGAGCAAACAGGAUUAGAUACCCUUGUAGUCGAUUCU